GCCUCUGAGGACAGCAAUGGCCCCAUCUCCAGUUGGUUUCCAUCUACCCUCUCAAGGAGGUUGUUGAUUGAGAGCUGCUGGGCAAGAGUGGAUAUCAGUUCUCCAGUACUUUCCACGAGUUUAUGUGUCAAGUAUCUGGAAACAGAGAGUUUUUAGGCAGUGAAGCACUAUGAGACUUCCUACAAGAAUGGGGAGUUCUAAGGUCUGACUCUGGAACAUCACAUCCACUUCUGGGUCUCAGCAUCCUCUGGGAAGGGGAACUGGGAGAAGUUUUCAGCGGAC